rnacentral:rRNA from 1 species
GAUGAACGCUGGCGGCGUGCCUAAUACAUGCAAGUCGAGCGAACGGACGAGAAGCUUGCUUCUCUGAUGUUAGCGGCGGACGGGUGAGUAACACGUGGAUAACCUACCUAUAAGACUGGGAUAACUUCGGGAAACCGGAGCUAAUACCGGAUAAUAUUUUGAACCGCAUGGUUCAAAAGUGAAAGACGGUCUUGCUGUCACUUAUAGAUGGAUCCGCGCUGCAUUAGCUAGUUGGUAAGGUAACGGCUUACCAAGGCAACGAUGCAUAGCCGACCUGAGAGGGUGAUAGGCCACACUGGAACUGAGACACGGUCCAGACUCCUACGGGAGGCAGCAGUAGGGAAUCUUCCGCAAAGGGCGAAAGCCUGACGGAGCAACGCCGCGUGAGUGAUGAAGGUCUUCGGAUCGUAAAACUCUGUUAUUAGGGAAGAACAUAUGUGUAAGUAACUGUGCACAUCGUGACGGUACCUAAUCAGAAAGCCACGGCUAACUACGUG